AUUGAACGCUGGCGGCAGGCCUAACACAUGCAAGUCGAGCGAGCGGCGGACGGGUGAGUAAUGUCUGGGAAUCUGCCUGAUGGAGGGGGAUAACUACUGGAAACGGUAGCUAAUACCGCAUACUAUCAGAUGAACCCAUAUGGGAUUAGCUAGUAGGUGGGGUAACGGCUCACCAAGGCGACGAUCCCUAGCUGGUCUGAGAGGAUGACCAGCCACACUGGGACUGAGACACGGGCGAGACUCCUACGGGAGGCAGCAGUGGGGAAUAUUGCACAAUGGGCGCAAGCCGGAUGCAGCCAUGCCGCGUGUAUGAAGAAGGCCUUCGGGUUGUAAAGCACUUUCAGCCGGGAGGCGUUACCCGCAGAAGAAGCACCGGCUAACUCCGUGCCAGCAGCCGCGGUAAUAC
rnacentral:rRNA from 1 species